AAUAAAUCACCAGACUACAGCCAUAUAGUUUUGAACCUAGAAGAAGAUCAAGGAGUAGGCAAGAAGGAGUUGACUGGGAUGGGCGAGAGGAAUGUCCAGUUGGCCCGAAAAGCAUGGUUUGUCAUCUGAUUUCUUGGAGCCUGGUGGAGAUAGAUGCAACCAUACUACAAGGCAGGACAUUUCUCUGCAUCCAGGUUGAGGCUUGCUACCAGCAGGAACAUGAAGCACUCUGUCAGUGCUACAGAGACAGAAUGGUCCAAGGACCUCCAGAGCCUUCUGAACAACUACCUGCAAUCUCUCCAGAGCACAGAGAAGUAAGCU